UCCUGGUGGCUCAGUGGUAAAAGAAUCUGCCUGCAAUGCAGGAGACCUGGGUUCAAUCCCUGGGUCAGGAA
rnacentral:tRNA from 1 species